UACGGAGGGUGCGAGCGUUGUCCGGAAUCACUGGGCGUAAAGGGCGCGUAGGCGGCGCGGGGAGUCAACGGUGAAAGCUCGGCGCUCAACGCCGAGUCGGCCGUCGAUACUCCCGUGCUCGAGCACUGUAGAGGCAGGUGGAACUCCGGGUGUAGCGGUGGAAUGCGUAGAGAUCCGGAAGAACACCGGUGGCGAAGGCGGCCUGCUGGGCAGUAGCUGACGCUGAGGCGCGACAGCGUGGGGAGCAAACAGG
rnacentral:rRNA from 1 species